AUGCAUAUAUGAGGUGCUUUCUUUUCUCUCUAACACUCGUAUUUAAUUUUUAAGGCAUAUUAUUCUGUUAUUUGAUAGUUCCUUGACUUUUGUGCCUAUAUAUCAGUGUUUUAUGAUUGCAUUUUCAUAUUGUUGUCUUUUUUUCUUUGUCAAUCCACUGAAAACGAUCUCAUGAAAAACUUUUUUCCUUUUAAUGCGGCAUGCGGAGAAAUAUUCCGUGGCCCAUAUUUAGGUCUUUUUCUGUAUGAAAUAUUAUUUACUCUUAAACCACCUACAUGGCUCUUCAUAUAUAUCUUGGAUGUAUGAAGGGCAGAAAAAUUGUCUCGGGUGGUUAUCCUUCUCUCUUCGAGUUGAAGUUAAAUCACUUUCUUUGUAAGGUACGGUAAAUUCAGAUUUGGGAUCGAUGCUCUUGUAUAAUUUUUUAUAUGUUAGAAUUUUUCUUGCCAAAUAUUUUUUUUAUAAGCUCAAAGGAUUUAGGAAAAGCUAAAGUCACACUGAGAGUUGGGUCCCGAUGAAUUAUCCCGACAACCUUUUUUUUUUUUUUUUUUUUUUUUACUUAGUGAUUAAGGAAGUGUUUUUAAUGAUAUUGUGAUUUUUUUAAAAAAAUAUUUAAGGGUAUAAAAUGAAUGAAAAAAGGACAUUUGGCUUUAUCGGGACUCAUCCUCGAGCUACACUCUUGGUGGGUGCACAACUCAAGGAUUUAUAGGAGAUGGAGCUCCCUGCGAGGCACGAACUUCUGUAUGCCAAAUCCGCAUUUGUCUCAUUUGUGGUUAUUCCUAUACCAUUCUUUAUAUUCUUGAACUUAUUAAUUUCUCCUCCAUCUCUUCCUCUACUCGUCCUUCAUGUCCUACUCAUCCUCUUUUUCUUUCUCUAUUUCUUCUUCUCCUCCCUCCUCUCCUUCCCUUGCUCGUAAGGAGUCCUACUCCUACUCUCUUACUCCUCUACUUGUCCUCUUUGUCGUACUCCUCUCUUCCUCAUCGUCUUCAUCUUCGUCUUCUUCCUCUCUUCUUCGUCCACGUCCUCCACUUCUCUUCCUCCUUCUAGAUGUACUAUCUGCAUGGUACGAUUUUAAAGAUUAGUUUAUUUAUUUUUAGAUGUGAUUAUAACUUUGGUUUUAAAGAUUAGUUACAAAAGCUUGAGAUUUCUAGAGGAGGUCUUACGCAUCCAUGCAACCUUGAUUGGUACUGGCUAGCCUUUGGCCUUGAUCCUUAUGCGACGAACACUCUCUAUAUAUAGUUAGUUAUCUCUAUCUUCUAAUUUAACUCAAUUCUUUCUUUAGGUAAGGUGAAUAACUUGAUUGGCGAGUACACAUUUAUUGUUAAUUUAGUUGUCUCGUUUAUGGUUAUUCCUAUAGUAUUUUUUAUAUUCUUGUUGUUGUUCAUUUCUCCUACUCCUUUCCUUCUGCCUCAUCUCUUACUCUCAUCGUCCUCUCUUCUCAUCCAAAUUCCUCUCCUCCUCCCUCCUUUCUUCCUCUCCACAUACUCCUUGUCCUAGGGUCCUCCUCUCUUUCUACUCUUCCUGUUCUCUUCUUCCGACUCUCUUCCUCACUGUCCUUGUCUUCCUAUUCUCGUCCCCUCAUUCACCUCCUUUCCUCUUCCUUCUCGACAUUUUUGUAGAUGUACCAUCUUUAUAGUAUACUUUUGGAGAUCACUUUGUUUUUGGUUAAAUAUGAUUAGAAUUUUGGUACUCAUUUUUCGAUUCUCUCUAGUUUAUUAAAUAGCUACCAAAGCCAAUGUAGAGGAGUACACAUCCCUGCAACCUCGAUUGGAUUGGUGUACUGGCUAGCCUUCGGCCUUUAUCCAAAUGCGAUGAAUGCUUUCUGUAUAUAGGUGAUAUUUUUAUACGUACCUUUUUUUUUUUUUGUAUAAAAUACUAUUUACAGGUUUGUAUGCUUUCCAAUAGUUGGGAUUUUUUGUAUGAAAUUUUAUUUGCAGUACUUCAUCCUCCUACAUGGCUUUUCAUAUCUAUACUGGAUGUAUGGCAAAACAAUUGUCCUGGGUAGUUAGUUAUCUCUCUCUUCUAGUUGAACUCACUUCUUUCUUCAGGUAAGGUGAAACUUGUUUGCCGAUUACGCAUUUAUUUUUAAUUUAGUUGUCUCAUUUAUGGUUAUUUUUUAUAUUCUUGUUAUUGUUAAUUUCUACUUCUCUUCUCCUUCUCCUUUCCUCUUGUUGUCCUACUCCUCUCAUUUUCCUCCUAUAUUCCUCUCAUCCCUCCUAUGUUCCUCUCCUUGUACUCCUCAUCCUACUCCUCCUCUCUUUCCACUCUCUCUGUCCUCUUCGUCCUACUAUUCUCUUCCUCACAGUUCUCGUCUUCUUCUUUUCUUCCUCGUUCACAUCCUUUCCUCUUCCUCCUCCACCUUUUUGUAGAUGUACUAUCUUUAUAGUAUAUUUUUAGAGAUCACUUUGUUUUUGGUCAUAUGUGAUUAGAAUUUUAGUAUUCCUUUCUCAAUUAUCUCGAGUUUUUAAUAUAAUAGAUACCAAAGCUUGAGAUUUGUAGAGGCGGCCUUACGCAUAUCCCUACAACCUCGAUUGGAUUGGUGUACUGGCUAGCCUUCGAACUUGAUCCUUAUGCAAUGAAUGCUCUCUGUAUAUAGGUGAUAUUUUUAUACUUACAUUUGUUUUUGUAUAAAAUUCUAUUUAGAACUUUGUAUGCUCUCUAACAUUUGAGACUUUCUUCUAUGAAAUUUUAUUUGCAGUACUUCACCCUCCUACGUGGCGUUUCAUAUCUAUGCUGGAUGUAUGACGAACAAAAGAUUUACAUGGGUCGUUAGUUAUCUAUCUCUUCUAGUUGAACUCACUUCUUUCUUCAGGUAAGGUGAGUAACUUGAUUACCGAUUACGUAUUUAUUUUUUAAUAUAGUUGUCUCGUUUAUGGCUAUGCCUAUAACAUUUUUUAUAUUCUUGUUAUAUUGUUAAUUUCUCCUACUCAUGUCCUUCUCCCUCAUCUCUUCCUCUUCUUGUCCUACUCCUCUCUUCCUGCCGUCAUCAUCCUCUUCGUCGUACUCCUCUCUUCCUCAUCAUCUUCGUUUUCUCGUCCCCAUUCAUGUCCUCUUUUCUUGCUCCUCCACCUUUUUCAAGAUGUACUAUCUUUAUAGUAUAUUUUUAAAGAUCAAUUUAUUUUUGGUCAUAUGUGAUCAGAAUUUUGGUAUUCUUUUCUCAAUUCUCUUGAGUCUUUAAUAUAAUAGCUACCAAAACUUGAGAUUUGAUUGGUGUGUUGGCCUUGAUCCUUAUGCGAUGAAUGCUUUCUAUUUAAAACUUUGUGUGCUCUCUAACAUUUGAGACUUUUUUGUACGAAAUUUCAUUUGUCGCACUUCACCCUCCUACAUGGCCUUGAUCCUUAUGUGAUGAACGCUCUCUGUAUGUGGAAGAUGUUUUUCUACUCACAUUUCUUUUUGUAUAAAAUUCUAUUUAAAACUUUGUAUGCUCUCUAACAUUUGAGACUUUUUUGUAUAAAAUUUUAUUUGCAGCACUUCACUCUCCUAUGUGGCGUUUCAUUUCUAUGCUUGAAGUAUGAAGGGCAAAAAAAUUGUCAUGUGUAGUUAGUUAUCUUUCUCUUCUAGUUGAACUCACUUCUUUCUUCAGGUAAGGUGCAACUUGAUUGCCGAUUACACAUUUAUUUUUUAAUUUAGUUGUUUUGUUUAUGGUUAUUCUUAUAGUAUUUUUUAUAUUCAUGUUAUUGUUAAUUUCUACUGCUCUUCUCCUUCUUUGUCCUCCUUUCCUCUCGUCAUCCUACUCCUAUUUUCCUCCUAUAUUCCUCUCCUCCUCCCUCUCCUCCUUUCCUCGUACUCAUCACUUUACUCAUACUCUCUUCCUGCUCUCACCGUCCACUUCGUCCUACUCCUCUCUUCCUCACCAUCUUCAUCUUUCUCUUCUUGUCCUCAUUCAUGUCCUCUUCACUCCCCCCAACUUUCUCAAGAUGUACUAUCUUUAUAGUAUAUUUUUAGAGAACACUUUAUUUUUGGUCAUAUGUGAUGAUAAUUUUGGUAUUCUUUUUUGAAUUCUUUCGAGUUUGUAAUAUAAUAGUUACCAAAACUUGAGAUUUGUAAAGGAGGCCUUACAUAUAUCCUUGCAACCUUGAUUGGAUUGGUGUGUUCGCUAGCUUUUGGCCUUGAUCCUUAUGCGACGAAUGGUAUAUAGUACACUUCACCCUUCUACGUGGCUUUUCAUAUCUAUGCUGGAUGUAUGAAGGGCAAAACAAUUGUCCUAAGUAGUUAGUUAUCUCUCUCUCUUCAAGUUGAACUCACUUCUUUCUUCAGGUAAAGAGAAUAACUUGAUUGCCGAUUACAUAUUUAUUUUUUAAUUUAGUUGUCUUGUUUAUGGUUAUUCCUAGAGAAUUUUUUAGGAUCUUGUUAUUGUUAAUUUCUCAUACUCCUCUCCUCCUCUCUCAUCUCUUCCUCUCCGUCCUACUCCUUUUUUCCUCCUAUAUUCCUCUCCUCCUCCCUCUUCCCUCUUCUCUUCCUCUCCUCGCCCUACUCCUCCUCUCUUCUUGCUCUCAUCGUCCUCUUCGUCCUACUCCUCUCUUCGUCACCGUCUUCGUCUUCCUCUUCUUGUCCUCUUUCACGUCCUCUUCAGUUCCUCCAACUUUGUUAAGAUGUACUAUCUUUAUAGUAUAUUUUUAGAGAACACUUUAUUUAUGAUCAUAUGUGAUUAGAAUUUUGGUAUUCUUUUCCAAUUCUUUCGAGUUUGUAAUAUAAUAGCUACCAAAACUUGAGGUUCGUAAAGGAGGCCUUACACAUCCUUGCAAGCUUGAUUGGAUUGGUGUGUUAGCUAGCUUUUGGCCUUGAUCCUUAUGCGACAAGCGGUAUACAGCACUUCACCCUCCUACGUGGCAUUUCAUAUCUAUGCUGGAUGAAGGGCAAAACAAUUGUCCUAAGUAUUUAGGUAUCUCUCACUAUUCAAGUUGAACUCACUUCUUUCUUCAAGUAAGGUGAAUAACUUGAUUGCCAAUUACAUAUUUAUUUUUCAAUUUAGUUGUCUUGUUUAUGGUUAUUCCUAGAGAAUUUUUUAGGAUCUUGUUAUUGUUAAUUUCUCCUACUCCUCUCCUCCUCCCUCAACUUUUCCUCUCCUCGUCCUACUCCUACUAUUUUACUCCUAUAUUCCUCUCCUCCUCCUUCCUCCCUCCUCCAUCCUCUCCUCAUAUACUCCUCGUCCUACUCCUCCUCUCUUCCUCACCAUCUUCGUCUUCCUCUUUUCAUCCCCGUUCAUGUCCUCUUCUCUUCCUCCUCUAUGGUUUUCAAGAUAUAAUAUCUUUAUAGCAUAUUUUUAGAGGUCACUUUUUUUUUUGUCUAUGUAAUUAUAAGUUUGGUAUUCUUUUUUUAAUUCUCUCGAGUUUUUAGUGUAAUACCUACCAAAGCUCGAUAUUUGUCGAGGGGGACUUACACAUCCUUGCAACCUCGAUUGGAUUGGUAUGUUGGCUCACCUUCGACCUUGAUCCUUAUGCAACAAAGGCUCUCUGUAUAUAGGUGAUAUUUUUCUGAUAUUUUUCUACUCACAUUUCUUUUUGUGUAAAAUGCUAUUUAGAACUUUGUAUGCUCUCUAACACUUGAGACUUUUUGUUUGAAAAUUUAUUUGCAACACUUGAUCCUCCUACGUGGCUUUUCAUAUAUCUCUGUUGGAUGUAUGAAUGACAAAAGAAUUGUCUUGGGUAGUUAGUUAUCUCCCUCUUCUAGUUGAACUCACUGUUUGUUUAGGUAAGGUGAAAAACUUGAUUGGCAAUUACGCAUUUAUUUUUUAACUUAGUUGUCCCGUUUAUGGUUAUUCCUCUAGUAUUUUUUACUUUCUUUUUAUUUUUAGUUUCUCUUAUUCUUCUCAUUUUCCCUCUCCUUUUCCUCUCCUUGUCCUACUCUUCUUUUCCUCCUAUAUUCCUCUCUUCCUCUCCACGUACUCCUCGUCCUACUCCCCAUCUCUCACCGUCCUCUUCGUCCUACUCCUCUCUUCCUUACCGUCCUCGUCUUCUUCUUCCCGUCCUCGUUCAUGGCAUGUUCUCUUCCUCCUCCACCUUUUUCUACAUGUACUUUCUUUAUUGUAUAUAUAAAGAUCACUUUAUUUUUGGUCAAAUGUGAUUAGAAUUUGGGUAUUCCUUUUUCAAUUCUCUCGGGUUUUUAAUAUAAUAGCAACCAAAGCUUGAGAUUUGUAGAGAAGGCCUUACACAUGCAACUUUGAUUGGAUUGGAGUACUGGCCAGCCUUCAGACUUUAUCCUUAUGCGAUGAAGGCUCUUUGUAUAUAGCACUUUACCCUCCUACAAGGCGUUUCAUAUCUAUGCUGGAUGUAUGAAGGGCAAAAAUAUUAACCUGGGUAGUUAGUUAUCUUUCUCUUCUAGUUGAAAUCACUUCUUUCUUCAAGUAAGGUGAAUAACUUGAUUGCCAAUAACACAUUUAUUUUUUAAUUUUGUUUUCUCGUUUAUGGUUAUUCCUAUAGUAUUUUUAUAUUCUUGUUAUUCUUAAUUUCUCCUACUAUUCUUCUUCUUCAUCUAUCUUCCUCUCAUGUUGCCGCCUCUUUUCCACUUACUCCUCGUCCCACUCCCCAUGUCUUACUGCUCUCACCGUCCUCUUCGUUCUACUCCUCUUUUCCUUACCAUCUUCGUCUUCGUCUUCUCGUCCUCGAUCAUGUCCUCUUCUCUUCCUCCUCCACCUUUUUUCUAGAUGUAUUUUCUUUAUAGUAUAGUUUUAAAGAUCACUUUGUUUUUGGUUAGAUGUGAUUAGAAUUUUAGUAUUCUUUUUUCAAUGCUCUCGGGUUUUUAAUAUAAUAGCAACCAAAUCUUAAGAGUUGUAAACUUACGCAUCCCUGCAACCUAGAUUGGAUUGGCGUACUAGCACACCGUCUACCGUAGACCAACUACUUGUCAGCACCGACCUCCCGUACAAUGCAGGAGUUUUAUCGGUACCUCUCCCACCCAAGUUCAAGGUUUCCCAGAUGUUCCGUGUACGACGGGUCUAAUGACCUACUGGAGCACCAGGAAACGUUUAAAGCCCACAUGACCUUGCAUGGCUUCCUGGGAGAGAUUGCUUGCGAAGCCUUUUCACUGACACUGAAAGGAGCCGCCCGGGCCUGGUUUGGGUCUCUGUCACCUGAGACCAUAGAUAGCUUCGACGAUCUGGCUUUCCUCUUCAUAACGCAGAUUAUGGCAAGCCAGAAGAGGAGGCGCCCGACUACUUACCUCUUCACGGUUAAACAGCGGGACGGCGAAAGCCUGAAAUUGUAUCUUUCCCGGUUUAAUCGGGAACGCAUGACCACCGACAACCAAGACGAGAAGAUCACCUUGAUAGCCCUCCUGGGGGGAAUUUGGCCUAGGAAUCCAUUUAUGCCUGAAAUAGCGCGGAAGACCCCCACCAAACUGAGGGAGUCUAUGGACUGGGCAGACAGAUUCAUCAACGCUGAAGACACCCUUGAGGCCCUUAUGGCUUCGCAAUGGUUCGAGAUGGUGCAAGUAGAUUGGAAAGUGGUUGGACAAAACGGAGGCCACAACUGUGGAGGGGAAAAAGAGGAGCACCAAAUACAAAAAGAAAGGGAGAAGCACCGACCCGGCCACGUGGGGUGCCCCACACUCACGAGUUUGGCGGUAAAAGGAGAUGUCAAUCGAGCCCACGAAGAGAGCCAGCCCGAGACAGAGAGGGCCACCAAUAUUGCAAGUACCACAUGAUCGAUCGGCAUAGCACCAAAUUUUGGUGCUAUGCCUUGAAGAGAAGAAGGGAGGAAGACCAACAGAACCGGAGGCGCUAGUCAGAGGAACAAGAAGAUCGGCGUGGGGGGCGUUUGGGCCCCAGCUGGGUGCGAGCCCGAGAAGGUAGAGAACGAGGGUAGAAGCUCGGAGGAGCCCCCCAACAGAGGACAGACCAAUCGAGGAAAUCUGCACGAUUAAUGGAGGAUAUGCAGGAGUGGGAGUCACUUCGUCAGCUUGAAGAGCACACGCCCGGAGGACACACUAUGACGAGGUAUUCACUAUCGGGAGAACUUUCGUCAGGGCACCUCGGCACCUAAGGAGCGCCACGAUAACCUUUGGUGAGAAGAA